UUCUGCUCCAAACCUUUCUCUGAGCUGCGUGGAAAACAAAACGAAGAAAGAAGUGGGAAUUGCACCGAGCACAAGAGAUUACAGGAGCGAAAAGCGUCGCCCUUCGAGAUGCAGCAAAGCACUUCUGAGCCACGAGGCCUCAAAAAUGCACCCCAGAUCCCUCCAUACCCAUUUGUGCGGCAGCGCAAAGUCACAAUGCUUCCCCAGAAGGGACACCCAAAAUCCUCCCUCCCAAAAAGAACCCAAAACCCAACCAGCACUGCCAGCAAGGUUGGUUUAAGGUCCUCUUUCAUGGUUUGCACCCAGAGCGCAGCGCAGCUCGGGGGCGUUUGGUGUCUGCUCUGUCCCCUCUGCUUUCUGCAGAGAGCUUUCUGGUUUGGAAUGCACGCCUCGCUUCAGGUGGCGCUGUGACAUUUGCUCUGUGUUUGUCAUGCUGAGACGGUCUGAAAAUAGUUGGAGGGGAAAAUGGGUGUUUUGUGCACGGAAGAGGAAAGCGGUUAUGGUGCGAACCAUGGGGAGCAGCUUCUAAAUAAUGCCGCCUGGGUGGACGUAGAACUCAGGAUGCCAUGAGGAGCUGCAGGAUGUGGGGGAGAUGUAGGGUCAUGAGGAGCUGUAGAACCACGAGGGGCCAUAGGGCCAAGAGGAGAUGUAGGGUCACGAGGAAAUGUAGGGUCAUGAGAAGCUAUAGGGCCAUGAGAAGCUGUAGGACCAUGAGGGGCCGUAGAGCCAUGGGAAGAUGUAGGGCCAUGAGGAGCUGUAGGAUCAUGAGGAGCUCUAGGGCCAUGAGGAGCCCUAGGGCCAUGAGGAGCCAUAGCGUCAUGAGGAGCUGUAGGGCUACGAGGAGCUCUAGAGCCACGAGGAGCUUUAGAGCUAUGAAGGGUUGUGGGACAUGAGGACCUAUAGGGCCAUGAGAAGCCAUAGGGUCGUGAGGAGCUGCAGGGCCAUUAGAAGCUGUAGGGCCAUGAGGGGCUGCAGGGCCAUGAGGAGCUGGGGCGUCAUGAGGAGCUGCAGGGCCAUUAGAAGCUGUAGGGCCAUGAGGGGCUGCAGGGCCAUGAGGAGCUGGGGCGUCAUGAGGAGCUGUAGGGCCACAAGGGGCCGUAGGGUCAUGGGGAGACAUAAGGCCAUGAGGAACUAUAGGACCACGAGGGGCCAUAGGGUCAUGAGGAGAUGUAGGGCCACGAGGAGCUGUAGGGUCAUGAGGAGCUGUAGAGUUAUUGAAGGGUUGUAGGACAUGAGGAGCUGUAGAGGUAUGAGGAGCUGUAGGACAUGCAGGAGGUCUAGGACAUGAGGAAGAUACAGGUCCACAAGGAGCUUCAGAGACACGAGGAACUGUAGGGUCAUGAGGGACUGUAGGGUCAUGAGGGGCUGUAGGGUCAUGAGGAGAUGUAGGGUCAUGAGGGGCUGUAGGGCCACGAGGAGCUACAGGGCCACAAGGGGCCAUAGGAUCAUGAGGGACUGUAGUGUCACAAGGAGCUGCAGGACAUGAGUGACUGAAGGACAUGAGUGGCUGUAGGGCCAUGAGGAGCUGUAGGACAUGAGUGGCUGUAGGGCCAUGAGGAGCUGUAGGACAUGAGUGGCUGUAGGGCCAUGAGAAGCCGUAGGACCAUGAGGGGCCAUAGGGUCGUGAGGAGCUGGAGCAUCAUGAGGAGCUGUAGGGCCACAAGGGGCCAUAGGGUCAUGGGGAGACAUAGGGCCAUGAGGAACUAGAGGACCAUGAGGGGCCAUAGGGUCAUGAGGAGAUGUAGGGCCACGAGGAGCUGUAGGGUCAUGAGGAGUUGUAGAGCUAUGAAGGGUUGUGGGACAUGAGGACCUAUAGGGCCAUGAGGAGCCAUAGGGUCGUGAGGAGCUGUAGGGCCAUGAGGGGCUGUAGGGCCAUGAGGAGCUGUAGGACAUGAGUGGCUGUAGGGCCAUGAGGAGCUGUAGGACAUGAGUGGCUGUAGGGCCAUGAGUGGCUGAAGGACAUGAGUGGCUGUAGGGCCAUGAGGUUUCCCCGCUGCCUCCUCUCACUCCUCACCCGCUCCUGUUGAGCCUCCUGCAGCUGCCGAUUGCUCAGCCCUGCAGCGCGUUCAGAUCCCCCUGCACGGCCCUGAUGGGGUCAAUCACUUCUCCCACUUCAGUCUCACCCACAGAUCUGUUGAAUAUGACCGCAGACCCCACAUCCGGGUCACGGAUGAAAACAGGGAACUGGCCCUGAAAUGGGUCCUGCAUUGUGAUUGGCCCCCAACACGAUGGAACCCAUUGGCCAUCACCCCCUGAGCCCAAUCCAUCAGCCCAGCAUCCGCCCAUCACCUUCUGGUUUUGCCAACCGGACCUUUUAACCCAAAGAAUAACGAGAGGAACGGUACUGAAAGCUCCCCUGAAGCCCCUGAAGGAUUACAUCAUCCAUCUUCCCAUUUUUGCUGUAAUCCAUCCUCCCCGUGGGCAGCAGAGGGGCUGCACCCCGUCCAGCAGUGCCCCCCCCAGUUGCAUGCUGUGUCCCUGGUAGGACAGAGGGAUGGGAGAUGAGGAUGAACGCAUAAAAUGCAUCAUUUCCUGCAUCAGUGGCCACAAUUUGAGCAUUCAUGGCCCCAGGAAUUCUGGAGGGCUCACCAGGCUGCCAGGGUCACGAGGAUGGGGAUGGGGCAAUGCCCACCCCUGGGGGGCGCAG
ensembl:lncRNA